UUCUAGUUAGCACAAACGAACGAAGAAACAAAAGUUCCGCAUCGUUCUGCAAGCGGUCCAACAGAUGAAAACAAACGAAACGCGAUCCGUCGAAAAUGGACGGUCGAGAUCGAUUCUAGGCAGGCCGUGGAUAAACGGUGUUUUCACCAUCCGGCUUGACGGACCAAAAAUCUGGUUUAUGCAGAACUCACCCAAUCAGUUCCCAAUUGCAGCUUGUGUUCAUUUUGCACAAAAUACGCCCAUUUGACUACGGUCGACGACGAUUUGACAACGCAGCGCGCACACACCGUUUCCCACUUGGUAGUCUCUACGAUGGCACCCGAGGAAAUCCAUAAACGCGUGGUGCGCUGGCCGUUGCUUUUCGUAAACUGCAUAGGACAGACAACGUUUACAUUUUUGAAAAGGCAGGAACGGUCAGUGUAUAUAGUCUUUGGGAACGGUGCCGUUGGAUUUUUGAGGAUGCAGCGUGUUGCUCGGAAAACCACCCGAUACACACUCUACUAAGGAAUAUAUUUGUUCUCAUUUCUUUGGGUCAUUGUCAAUUUCCUUAAUAUCACAGGUCCAGACACACUUUUGGUCAGUAUACGUAUAUUAAUGGUAAUAAUUAUUAAACGUUUACACAACUGUCAUGAAA